GGUUAUUUUUUAACAAUUUUUUCAAGUGAAAUUUUAACCAUAUUUCUAGUUCCCCUGCAAUAACCAAGAAAUGGUUAGAAUUUUGACCAAUAAACGAAAGAAAAUAUUCAUGUCCGCCAUUUUAGAAACAUUCUUCGACAAAGCCACAUUGGUACUAUAGUUUAUUUUCAAUUUCUCAGUAGUUUUAUCAAAAUUUAAACAUACAACCUAAAUGAAUUUAAUUCCUAGUGCCCACUCAGUACAGAACAGAAUCAAUCCGAUUCCACCAAAAAGCCCCUGAUGCCUGCAGGUAAUCGUUGCCGGAGUUGCUUAGUCGCAAUACCCUUAAUCCGGCUUCUUAUUGCAUGGAUCGGUUCCAAAUCAGGCCGCUGGACACGACGAAUUGCAGACAGCACUUAACGAGGCCUUCCAGAAAAAAUACCGGGUUGGGGUUGAACACUCCAAAUGGGCGCACUGGAUGGCGGAUAUUCCCAUUUAUUAAAAACCAACACAAGUUUUCUGAUCCGGACGAUGACGAUGGAUCGCCAGGCGAUCCGGAAUUUCCUCUUCACCUGUGUUGUCCGAACGGGACUGUUUGAACUGAUCAUCUUGAGGAGGCUUUAACUAUCAUUUUACCUUCCGGGACGGGAUGCAUGUAGCCAGAUUCAGAUCGGGCGGAAAAAAAUUGUUGAACAGCGGAUCGGAGCCGAAUCGGAGCACAGCAGUUUUACGAGAAGCCUGAGGUUGAAGCGAACGAGGAGUCGAAAA